UGGCAGUGGCUGUUGGAGGAUGAUAGGGA
rnacentral:piRNA from 1 species